UACGUAGGGGGCAAGCGUUGUCCGGAUUUAUUGGGCGUAAAGAGCGUGUAGGCGGCCAGACAGGUCCGUUGUGGAAACUUGAGGCUCAACCUCGAGACGCCGAUGGAAACCGUCUGGCUAGAGUCCGGAAGAGGAGAGUGGAAUUCCUGGUGUAGCGGUGAAAUGCGCAGAUAUCAGGAAGAACACCCGUGGCUAAGGCGGCUCUCUAGUACGGUACUGACGCUGAGACGCGAAGGCGUGGGGAGCGAACAGG
rnacentral:rRNA from 1 species